rnacentral:piRNA from 1 species
UAGGAAAAACAUAGUUACUUACGGGC